CCUACGGGGUGCAGCAGUGGGGAAUAUUGCUCAAUGGGGGAAACCCUGAUGCAGCAACGCCGCGUGCGUGAGGACGGCUUUCGGUAUGUAAAGCUCUAUCAGCAGGGAAUAGAAAAGAAGGUAGUUGAAAAAGAAGCACCGGCUAACUACGUGCCAGCAGCCGCGGUAAUACGGAGGGGGCAAGCGUUAUCCGGAUUUACUGGGUGUAAAGGGAGCGUAGACGGAAGCACAAGCCAGGAGUGAAAGCACGGGGCGUAACUCGGGAACUGCUCUUGAGACUGCGGGGCUGGAGUGCAGGAGGGGCAGGCGGAAUUCCUGGUGUAGCGGUGAAAUGCGUAGAGAUCAGGAGGAACACCGGUGGCGAAGGCAGCCUACUGGACUGCGACUGACGUUGAGGCCCGAAAGCGUGGGGAGCAAACAGGAUUAGAUACCCUAGUAGUC
rnacentral:rRNA from 1 species